AAGGAUCAUUACCGAGUAUAGGGGUCUCCUCGCGGGGCCCCGAACUCCCACCCCAUGUUUAUGUACCUCUGUUGCCUCGGCGGGCCCGCCGGGGGCCCCUAGUGGGCCCCUAAGCAUCCGGCCUCAGCGCUGGACAGCGCCCGCCAGAGGACCAACCAAACCCUUUUUUUACCGGCAGUCUGAGUAAAAUAACAAAUAAGUUAAAACUUUCAACAACGGAUCUCUUGGUUCUG
rnacentral:misc_RNA from 1 species